CUCCAAAACAGAAGCUAUUUUAGUUGGUACACCACACCAGGUCCAGUCAUCACCUAUAACGCACAUCACCUUCUCUUAUCAAAACAUUCCAAUUUCAUCGACAGUCACUAACCUGGGAGUAAGAUUUGAUGCUCAACUCACAUUUGACGCCCACAUACAACAUCUGUGCUGGACUACAGCAACGCUCUUCUUUUUGGGAUUCCUAGCAAAAGUCUACAAAAAUUACAAUACAUUCAGAACAGUGCUGCCAGGAUCCUAA